rnacentral:rRNA from 1 species
AGCGAACGCUGGCGGCAGGCCUAACACAUGCAAGUCGAACGGACCCUUCGGGGUUAGUGGCGGACGGGUGAGUAACACGUGGGAACGUGCCUUUAGAUUCGGAAUAGCUCCUGGAAACGGGUGGUAAUGCCGAAUGUGCCCUUCGGGGGAAAGAUUUAUCGCCUUUAGAGCGGCCCGCGUCGGAUUAGCUAGUUGGUGAGGUAAUGGCUCACCAAGGCGACGAUCAGUAGCUGGUCUGAGAGGAUGACCAGCCACACUGGGACUGAGACACGGCCCAGACUCCUACGGGAGGCAGCAGUGGGGAAUCUUGCGCAAUGGGCGAAAGCCUGACGCAGCCAUGCCGCGUGAAUGAUGAAGGUCUUAGGAUUGUAAAAUUCUUUCACCGGGGACGAUAAUGACGGUACCCGGAGAAGAAGCCCCGGCUAACUUCGUGCCAGCCGCCGCAGUAA